AACUUUCAACAACGGAUCUCUUGGUUCCAGCAUCGAUGAAGAACGCAGCGAAAUGCGAUAAAUAAUGUGAAUUGCAGAAUUCCGUGAAUCAUCGAGUUUUUGAACGCACAUUGCACUCCUUGGUAUUCCGAGGAGUACGCCUGUUCGAGCGUCAUU
rnacentral:rRNA from 1 species